rnacentral:rRNA from 1 species
AUUGAACGCUGGCGGCAUGCUUUACACAUGCAAGUCGGACGGCAGCACAGAGAAGCUUGCUUCUUGGGUGGCGAGUGGCGAACGGGUGAGUAACAUAUCGGAACGUACCGAGCAGUGGGGGAUAACUAAUCGAAAGAUUAGCUAAUACCGCAUAUCUUCUGAGGAAGAAAGCAGGGGACCAUUUGGCCUUGCGCUGUUUGAGCGGCCGAUAUCUGAUUAGCUAGUUGGUGGGGUAAAGGCCUACCAAGGCGACGAUCAGUAGCGGGUCUGAGAGGAUGAUCCGCCACACUGGGACUGAGACACGGCCUAGACUCCUACGGGAGGCAGCAGUGGGGAAUUUUGGACAAUGGGCGCAAGCCUGAUCCAGCCAUGCCGCGUGUCUGAAGAAGGCCUUCGGGUUGUAAAGGACUUUUGUCAGGGAAGAAAAGGGCGGGGUUAAUACCCCUGUCUGAUGACGGUACCUGAAGAAUAAGCAC